rnacentral:misc_RNA from 1 species
CGUGUUAAAUGAAUUACGUUGCAUUUCGCUGCGGCUUAUCGGACGAACGCAAUUUUAACUUCUAAUAUCUUACUUUUCUGACGUACCAAGGUGACAUUGAGUAUACUAAAUGGCACGGUGUAUCUUUCAUAAGAUCAGUCGAUGCUACUGGAUAUUCUCUACAAAAAAAGUAUUAACCUAUUUAUACCGAGAAGCCAUUAAUUUAGCGGAUGAUUUUAAUCUUAGCCUGUCAAAUUGAACGUAUAGAGGACAAAACAACACAAACACAAGAAUAUCGUCUCGCGUCUCUUCUUAUCUUUCAAUGUCCAGCUGGAUCGACUAAAAUAUAUUCUCUGUUACCAAAAAUAUACCGUGCCAUUUAGAAAACCCCAAGUCACCUUGAUACCUCAGAAAAUACAAGAUAGAAAUUAAAAUCGCCGCGAUAGUUACCUUGAGCGAUAUUCCGCCUAUCCACUCACCC